GGGUCCGUGGUCUAGUGGUUAUGACGCUGCCCUUACGAGGCAGUGAUCCCCGGUUCGAAUCCGGGCGGACCCA
rfam:Geoglobus ahangari strain 234, complete genome.